GAUCAUGGCUCAGGACGAACGCUGGCGGCGUGCCUAACACAUGCAAGUCGAACGAAGCACUGUGGAUAGAGACUUCGGUCAAUUGAAGCUUUGACUUAGUGGCGGACGGGUGAGUAACGCGUGAGGAACCUGCCUUUCGAGUGGGGGACAACAGUUGAACGACUGCUAAUACCGCAUAAUGUGUUUUGGGGCAUCCCGGAACACCAAAGAUUUAUUGCUGAAAGAUGGCCUCGCGU
rnacentral:rRNA from 1 species